GACGAACGCUGGCGGCGUGCCUAAUACAUGCAAGUAGAACGCUGCAGUGAGGAGCUUGCUCUUCUUGGAUGAGUUGCGAACGGGUGAGUAACGCGUAGGUAACCUGCCUUCUAGCGGGGGAUAACUAUUGGAAACGAUAGCUAAUACCGCAUAACAAUGGUUUACACAUGUCAUUUAUUUGAAAGGGGCAAUUGCUCCACUACAAGAUGGACCUGCGUUGUAUUAGCUAGUAGGUGAGGUGACGGCUCACCUAGGCGACGAUACAUAGCCGACCUGAGAGGGUGAUCGGCCACACUGGGACGGAGACACGGCCCAGACUCCUGCGGGAGGCAGCAGGAGGGGAUCUUUGGCAAUGGGGGCAACCCUGACCGAGCAACGCCGCGUGAGUGAAGAAGGGUGUCGGAUCGUGAAGGUCUGGUGUAAGUCAAGAACGAGUGUGAGAGUGGAAAGUUCACACUGUGACGGUAGCUGAGCAGAAAGGGACGGCUAACUACGUG
rnacentral:rRNA from 1 species